rnacentral:rRNA from 1 species
CACACAGUAAACGAUGAAUACUCGCUGUUUGCGAUAUACAGUAAGCGGCCAAGCGAAAGCAUUAAGUAUUCCACCUGGGGAGUACGCCGGCAACGGUGAAACUCAAAGGAAUUGACGGGGGCCCGCACAAGCGGAGGAACAUGUGGUUUAAUUCGAUGAUACGCGAGGAACCUUACCCGGGCUUGAAUUGCAGAUGAAUAUGUAGGAAACUAUAUAGCCAGCAAUGGCAUCUGUGAAGGUGC